CAAAAAGAAAAAAAAACGAAGGAGUUUAUAAUAAUAACACUGAUACACUAUUCUAUUGCUGUUUACUUAUUCUCUCUUUCUCCCCUCAACUUGUGUCUUGAUUACACAAACACACACCAGGGCGGACUUUUUAUGAAUCGGUGUA
rnacentral:ribozyme from 1 species